rnacentral:misc_RNA from 1 species
GAACGGAAGAAAGGGCGGAAGACAAGGCGGGGGACGUGAAGCACAUCCGCACACGCUUACGCCCACACAUCUACCCCUCUCCCACGCAUAGACAUACACAAGACAACACCCCCGCUAUAGAGCCCUCUCUAUCAGUCGUCUCGCUUUCCAUAUAGAAUGCGCACACGCACACACGCGUCCCUCUUCACCCAAUCUAAGUCGCGUUAUUCAUCGCUUCAACACACGUACACAGUUCAAGCCACAGCUCGCCUGCUGAACAAGUGAGCCGUGUCCAGUCCCCUCCCCUCCUCCUCUUUCCCUCCUCUUCUUUGCCAGCCUCCCACGCACAUACACGUAGAUGGACACCGCCUCCGCCGCUGAACCAAGCCCACCUCCGCGGCUCCGUGAUGCUGUGAAGGCGGAGCCGAGCACAGAAAACGAGCGUGGGCAGCAGCUGCAGCAGUUGUCUCGCCAUCAAGACGUCGCUUCUUCGGCGUCCGCAUUGGACUUUCUCGCGCUGUGGCGACCUUCCGCGGUGUCGUCGUCUCGACAUGCUGCAGCGCUCACUAACGCGAAACAAGUCGAAGUACAAAGGGCAAAAUCGUCUUCGUCUCCUCCCCCGUCGUCCGAGCUGACUACACCGACGCAUGUCUACGACCCGCGCCUGGGCACUCUGUCCAUCGGAUCGGUGGUAUUCGCACCCUAUCGCGUGUGCAGUGAACGCCCGGCGCGCGGUGGCUUGUCGGCGUGUGUGGCCGGCGGCACUGUCAGUGGAUCUCCGGUCACUGCAGCGGCGCCGCACCAGCUGAUGCCGCCACCGCGCUCUCCCUACCGCUUACAUUACGCGCUCGCCGAGGUGACGGGUAUUCAGGUGAUGGCCGGUACUGUCACCGUGUCUUUCCUCUUCACGGAUCCAGGCAUCGACGACGAGGCUGUGUCGAUGUACGAAUGCGUGCCGUGCCCGCCAGCAUGUCUCUCACGGUGGCUUCUCGAGGAAAGCAGCCCUGCACCACAACGCUGUUCUCUGCUGGAGCGCGUCUUGCACGUCACUCCGCCGGAGGGACCUCUCCCGGUGAAUGACGUCUACAGGGCCCUCCAUGCGGCGUCCCCCAAGUUUGCCUCUGCACCGGGUUUAUCACCGUUGCUGGUUCAGCGGCAGCGGCAACGAGAGCGUUGCGUGGCGCGACUCCGUCGACUCUACUGCCUCAGCGAUGACGACGACGAGCAGCCGCACACCACGAUGGCACGCAACUCCAGAGGUGUGGCACAAAGCGCAUCAGGGGAAGACAUGGCAGCGAAGCCUGUCGCACUCGAACCCACCGCCGCAACGGCCACUCCCUCCUCGGCCGCAUGGCGAUUUCUGUCGACUGCUACUACUGAAAAGGCGGCUUUGACGGUCGGCAGCGCGGGGACAACGACUCUUGCCGCGUCAGCCGCCACCAUAUUUGCCCGCUACGUCGCCCCGACUAGCGUGCAUGUCUUUUUCUCCAGCAUCUUCCAGGAGGUGAACGUGUACAUGGAACAUCACUGCAGCCGUCACCGCCGCCAUUCGCUCACAGACCCCACGGCAGAACCUCUCUCCUCUCCCAGUCGGCGGCUUCGUCGCGGCGUCGCUGCUGUCAACGCCGCGUCCCCACCGCCGCUCGUUCUCGUCAUCUUCGACAGCUACGCCACGCUGCGUCGCUUUCACGUCUUCAUGUCGGUGCGCGGCCACGUUGUGCAGCUGCUCGACGGUGCCCACGUAGACAGAGCUCUCCCAUCGCCGCAAACGUCGCACGCGUUCGGAGCUCAGUGCAAGAUCUGGCUGUGCAUGCUGCGCGAUGACACCGGAGAAGAGAGUGUGGAAGAAGAGGCGAAGAAGGAGGAUGGUUUCUCAAUCGCCAGGGCCAGUGCUGGUGAAGAGAGCGCGGAGGUAGCGCAGGCAGUGGCACUCAUGGAAGCGCAGCUGCGCUGUUUGCUCGAAGCUGCGCCGCCCGUCGACGCACUUGUCAGCUUCAGGGAACACGUCACGCAGCAACAAGUCACGAAGAGCCGUCAGUCGGCUACGCUGCAUCAGCAUGUCACAGCGGAGGCGGUGCUGCAGCGACUUAUGCCGCACCUCGGAGCAUACCGCCUGGAGUGUGUUCUGCAGGACGUCCCGGCACCGCCGCCGCGACCAACGCCGGUCGGCAACAACGCAGCUGCUUCCUCUUCAGGGACGACGCAGCCACCGCCAUCCACGGCCCCCGCCACUACCGUUGUCAAGGUGUCCGGUGCCGUCUUCGGCGACAACAAGAUUCUCGUCCCGUGCAGCCCCGAGCAACUUACCCUGCUCUCCACCGUGUUGGCGAGCACCCCUGUAGCGGUGAGUCAGAAAACAGGUGAUGGCGGCGCUGCUGAGGGAGGCGGUGAAACCGCAGGGCAGCGCAAGUGUUCUCCUACCAAGAAGGCUAAUCGGAAACGUCCGCGAGUGAUGGAGACGGCAGACUCCUCGUCGGCAACGGCUGUAGCAAGAGCGCAGGCGCUGACCCCAGCACUGCUAGAGAGGAUUGCCCUCGGCAGCUUCACAGACGCCGCGGCAGCGACACUUUUCGAUGUUUUUGCAGACGCCACAGCGGUCGUGAUGAAGUCGCCUGACCCCUCCUCCGCGGAUCUGCCCGCGACGGCCGGCGACGCGCACCGCGGCAGCAGUGAUGGAAGAGGUGCCGCAGAGGUACUAAGCAGCAUCGAGGACCUUUACGAGAAGUGGUGCGUCGACCCAUCGCGGUUCGGUGAAGCGUUCCCGGUGUUCGCGGCGGUGUACGCACUGGUAGCGGACGUCUUCGCCAGUGUAAGUCGCUUCCGACCCGGCAGACCACGUAGCGCUAGUGAGUGGGACGCCAGCAUCGGCGACGAAGGGCCGCGGCGGCUCUCUAGUGGGCCACUGGAGUCUGCCCCGUCACUUGAACAGGCCGCAGAGAAAGCCUCGGCAGUGACGCAGAGGCGCUUACCGACGCAGUCGCCUCCCAAUGAACUCCCUCGCGGCCGCCUCGGUGCGCUCAUUGGUGCUCUCCCCCGCAUCGCCAUAGUGCUCCCACGCGGCAACCCCACCCAACACCCCAACCUCGGCACACAGCAGUAUCUUCGCACGCUCCGCGCCUUCUUUUCGCCCUGGGCGGUGCACGAGGUCACCUCCCCAGCCGCUUCUGUGGCCGUCGGCUGCGCGGCGCCGGUGCUGUGGCACCAGCGCGGCGGCCUUCUUCUCCUUUUUUGCGAUGAGGCCACCACGCAGCUUGGUGCCUUGCAGGACGAGGCGGACGUCGUGAUCGCGUGUGGCAAGGCGGCGGCUGCGUGGGUAGCAGCGAAUAGUGCGACGAAGGCCAGUAGCGGAGACAGUUGCAAAGUUGCUGCCGCUGGCCCGCUGCUGUUCGCCGUCAUCUCAGAGGCGGAGGUGGUGGCGCCGACAGACCAGCUCACCCACCUGUGGCUUCCCAUCACUCUUGCUUCACCGACCUGCAUGGGAGGGGGCGACGCGCCUGCUGACGUGUCGACCUCAGCGGACGGGCUCGAGCGGUGCAGUGAGUGGCCGGCAAUGUCGAAGGAGGAGACGUCGCGCACCGAGCUAGAGGAAAUGUGGAGGCUCCUCGUUGCAACGGUAAGCGCAGAUGGGAGCGUCGACGUGCCUGCACGCCCGUCAUCGCCACUACUGCGGCAAGACCAACAACAGCAUGGCCAGACCUUGCGCAGCACCGGCGUGGCUGCCCGCCGACUUCACCAAGUCGAGGUGCUGCCCAGAACCCUGCGGCAAGCCGUGGUGCUCUGGCGCCACCUCCAGACCGCUGAAGCCACUGUGUGCGGUGGGCAACGCCAAAGCCGUGCGUCACCAUCCGAGCUCGACAAUGAAGGGCCGUGGGGCACGCUGCAGGCAGUCGUGAAGGAAAUGGCGCUGAGCUGCGUCACGGCAACGCCAGUUCGCAUGACGGACGUGACUCUCCUACGCGGCAGCGAUGACAGCGCGUGAGCCGCCAAAGGGACUGGCGUGCGCCAUGUUGCAGAAGGACCAGGCUUCGCAUUAUUUGAAAACGGCGGUGAAUUCACUUGAGUCCCUCGCGCCUCCGCCCCGUCUUGAGGUGCGAACAUGUGCGGGUUCGUGCGCAGUAGUGUCGGCCUCUGCAGCGGUUUGUCUCUUCGGUUUUU